rnacentral:rRNA from 1 species
GACGAACGCUGGCGGCGUGCUUAGCACAUGCAAGUCGAACGGAAAGGCCCUGCUUGCCGGGUACUCGAGUGGCGAACGGGUGAGUAACACGUGGGUGAUCUGCCCUGCACUUCGGGAUAAGCCUGGGAAACUGGGUCUAAUACCGGAUAGGAGCCAUUUUUAGUGCGAUGGUUGGAAAGUUUUUUCGGUGUAGGAUGAGCUCGCGGCCUAUCAGCUUGUUGGUGGGGUAAUGGCCUACCAAGGCGGCGACGGGUAGCCGGCCUGAGAGGGUGGACGGCCACAUUGGGACUGAGAUACGGCCCAGACUCCUACGGGAGGCAGCAGUGGGGAAUAUUGCACAAUGGGCGCAAGCCUGAUGCAGCGACGCCGCGUGGGGGAUGACGGCCUUCGGGUUGUAAACUCCUUUCGCUAGGGACGAAGCUUUUUGUGACGGUACCUAGAUAAGAAGCACCGGCUAACUACGU